ensembl:lncRNA
GUUAAUAGCCCCAGCAAGUACUGUCAUCCUAACCUAAGACAUUUCAAUGUCUCAGUGUCAGGAAUCAAAGGAGACUUUAAGCAAAGCAAAAACUGGAAAAAAAAAAAAAAAAAAAAGACCUUUGCGUUUCGGCGAGGCCUGCACUCGGUGCUGGAAGAGCGUGCCGUUUUGUUUUGGGGAGGGGCAGGGAGUAUAGGAAGAAAGAGAGACCCGUCCCAGCUGCCCAUCCUCAGCCCCUUCCCGCAGUCCUGCACCCAACCCUCCUUUGACGCCGGCCAGGACCAAGGCUCUACAGGGCGCCGGGCCUCCCUCCCGCCGCGUGCCUCGCACUCCCAGGACGCCUUCCUCGCGGGACGCCCCCCCCCAACGGAGCCGGACCUCCCUUCGAGAGCCCUGGAGCUUCGGCUCCCAGCGGGAGCCUCAAGUUGCCCCGCGAGAACCAGCCGCCUCCUCCCACCAGGAGGACGCCCUCAGUCCUGCUCCGAGUCAGCCCACCGGAGUUUCCCGGCAGGCCAGCCCUCGCGGGCCCGGUUCUCCGGCACUCACCGCCCGGCGGCUCUGAGCUCGCCCGCCUCGAGCCGGCCGGGCCCCGUGGGGGGCGGGGCGGANNNNNNNNNNNNNNNNNNNNNNNNNNNNNNNNNNNNNGGCUCCGCGGCGGACGCGAGCGCGGAAGCGCGAGGAAUCCCUGGAAUGAGGCGCCGCCCGCCCUCCGCGGGCUCCGCCGGGCUCCGCCUGGCCCGCCAGGACACGCCCCCCCGGACACGCCCCUCCCACGAGCAGGUGGGCGGCCAAGCCCAGCCAUCUCAGAGCCCACAAAUAAGCCUCACCUCUACCAUGACCCAACACGAAUUUCACCCUUCACCCAAUUGGAUGGAGUCCAAUGAUAGGACCAUUUUGAGUAGUAGUAACCCGAGUCUCAAGUUGUUUGUGGAAUUCAAUGAAGGUGGUAUUCCAAGGUUUGGAGCAGUACAUUUGAAACCUGUCAAGGAAUCAGCAGUGAGCAUGUUUCUGAAUGUCAGCUCAUUUCACAGCAUGGUUCUGAAUGAAUGCUCUUAAGCAAGACCAGACUUAUGGCCAAAGCAAUGGCUUAGACCUCAGAUCUCUGAGUGAUAUCUGUCUAACUGAUCCAAAGAUUGGAUUCAUCCUUACACAAGGAAUUUUCCUUCAAAUACCGUAAGAGCAAUUCAUCUUGGCAAUAGAUGCUUGCCCUUGUGCUUAGUAACAAACCAGUGGGCUGGGGCAGGAGAUAAUAGGAGCCAUCUUCCCGAGGAAAGAAUGUUGCAGAUGCUGGAUUCAAGGUCAUGGAGAGUUUGACCACAGGUAACUAGCUAACUCUCAGACAGAAUGGUUUGAGCCAGGGAACUUACCAGAAAUGAGCACUUGUUUUUCUCUGAGUAUGGAAUCACUCAGAGGAUACCACCACCUAGGAGAAAAAUUCUUCAAACCAAGAUUGCCACAUCUCUCUUGGCUCCAAUUUCUUGCUUUGCAUUCAGCUCUUACAAGCAUGUGCUAUAUAUAGGCAAGAAGAAAGUAAACAAGGAAGGAAGAAGAUAAACAUUCUUGGGUGCCAGCUAUGUGCAAGGCACCCUGCCGAGCCUACCCAUUUAAUGCAACUUAAUCCUGUGAGGAAGACAUUGUCAACCCCAUUCUAUGGAUGAAACAGUGGGGGCUCAGAGAAGGUAAAACCUUUGCCUUAGUAGUGCAGAGCCAGGAUUCAAACCAGCUGUCUUGAUCCUGAUUCGAUCUUUCAGUCAUACCACUGUUUACCCAGAAAAGACCCUGUUGAGAAUCACUAAAUAAACUAUUAAAUCUGUUAUAGACCAACACUUCAACCCUGAAGGGAAAUAUCUCCUUUUGGUGGCCCAUCCUCUGUGGGCUACCAUAUGGAAUUGGAACUUACUGAGGUUCUAACAUCAUUUUUGACAUCAUUUUUCAAAGGAUGGAGAAACACUGGGCACGUGAGAACCGCUGAGACAUCGGCAUCAGCCACACCAGAGUUCAAACCCCAGUCCCACCAUCUUCUAACUGCAUGACACGGGCACACACUUGGACACUGCCCACCCUUCUAUCUUCUCUCCUAUACAUUGGGGAUGAUUCCUACUUAGAAAGGUCUGGUAAAACAAGUGCUGACAGACAAAUACAGACGAAGACAAAUAUUGUGUGAUCUACUUAUAUGUGGAUAUGUGGAAUCAAAGAAAGAAAGAGAGAGAAGAAAGAAAACUCAUAGAAAAAGAGACCAGAUUUAUGACUGCCAGGGGCAGGGUUGGGAAGUAAUAGAAGGAAGGUGGUCAAAAAGUACAAACUUCCAGUUAUAAGAUAAAUGUAAUGUCCAACAUGAUGACCGUUGUUAACACUGACGUAUGGUAUGUAUCUGAAAGUUGUUAAGAGUAAAUCCUAAGGGUUCUCAUCACAAAGAAAAAAAAAUUUUCUCUCUUUUUCUUUUUUCAUAUCUAUACGAGAUGAUGGAUGUUAACUAAACAUCGUGGUGAUCAUUUCGCAAUAUGUGUAAAUCAAGACAUUAUGGCAUCCAGUGCUGUGUCAAUUAUACCACAAUAAAAAUGGGAAGGAGAACGAAGGAAGGAAGGAAGGAAGGAAGGAAGGAAGGAAGGAAGGAAAGAAGAAGGAAGGAAGGAAGAAAGAAAGAAAGAAAGAAAGAAAGAAAGAAAGAAAGAAAGAAAAGAAAGAAAAGAAAGAAAAGAAAGAAAAGAAGGAAGGAAGGAAGGAAGAAAAAGCCCUAACUGGAAAAAAAAAAUUCAGGGUUUUUUUGUUUCAUUUUGUUUUGUUUUGGUUUUUUUAAGCAUUAAGUACUUUAAAAAUAGUAAAAUCAUUUUAAUGGUUGUUUUUUUCCACUUCAUCAUUCCUCUCUUUGACCCUGUAGUUGAUUACUUAAGACAGCUUCGAAAUCCAGGUCAACCUUACUUAGGCUGAUGAAUUCAUAUUGGCUUGUGUAUGUUUAAAAAAAGUUUUUGUAUACAUUAAAACAGUUGCAUAUUCAAUAAAAGUGUCUCCAGUUCAAAGUCUCCUCCUGUGCUUCUACUGUAUAUAAGGCUGGCAUCCCCAAUAAGCAGACCGUGUUUGUAUUUAGG